rnacentral:rRNA from 1 species
UGAGGAAUAUUGGACAAUGGGGGCAACCCUGAUCCAGCCAUGCCGCGUGAGUGAUGAAGGCCUUCGGGUUGUAAAACUCUUUUAGAUGUGACGAUGAUGACGGUAACAUCAGAAAAAGCUCCGGCUAACUUCGUGCCAGCAGCCGCGGUAAUACGAAGGGAGCGAGCGUUGUUCGGAAUCACUGGGCUUAAAGCGUGCGUAGGUGGAUUGGUAAGUAAGGAGUGAAAUCCCAGGGCUUAACCCUGGAACUGCUCUUUAGACUGCCUGUCUGGAAUUCGGAAGAGGUUGGUGGAACUCCCAGUGUAGAGGUGAAAUUCGCAGAUAUUGGGAAGAACACCGGUGGCGAAGGCGACCAACUGGUCCGACAUUGACACUGAGGCACGAAAGCGUGGGUAGCAAACAG